rnacentral:rRNA from 1 species
CACGUAGGGCGCGAGCGUUGUCCGGAUUUAUUGGGCGUAAAGAGCUCGUAGGCGGCUUGUCGCGUCGAAUGUGAAAACUCGGGGCUCAACUCCGAGCUUGCAUUCGAUACGGGCAGGCUAGAGUUCGGUAGGGGAGGACUGGAAUUCCUGGUGUAGCGGUGAAAUGCGCAGAUAUCAGGAGGAACACCGGUGGCGAAGGCGGGUCUCUGGGCCGAUACUGACGCUGAGGAGCGAAAGCGUGGGGAGCGAACAGG